UAACAAAAAAAAAAAAAAAAAUCUUUCAAAAUAUAGUUUCAUGUUUUCUUUUGACCAUUCAUGAUCAAUUAAUGAAUGAUCCUUUGAUUUAUCAUGGGGCAUUCAUAAUUUGUUCACCAUUUUCUGUCUAAAGGGCUAAUGUGGUAAAUUUCAAAGACUUAUAUGUAAAAUGAAGUUCUUUAUGUUCUAACUGCUAAUCAUUUUGAUGGAACAAUACUCUUUUUCCCCUUAUUUGGAAACUAGAAUUUCAAUUCAGUUGAUUUUUUUAAGUCAAUUCUUAUAUUUGAAAUGAAAAACUUUAAUUUUUUUUUAAACUUAAAAAAAUU
rnacentral:misc_RNA from 1 species